UGAGGAAUAUUGGUCAAUGGACGCAAGUCUGAACCAGCCAUGCCGCGUGCAGGAUGACGGCUCUAUGAGUUGUAAACUGCUUUUGUACGAGGGUAAACCCCGAUACGUGUAUUGGGUUGAAAGUAUCGUACGAAUAAGGAUCGGCUAACUCCGUGCCAGCAGCCGCGGUAAUACGGAGGAUCCGAGCGUUAUCCGGAUUUAUUGGGUUUAAAGGGUGCGUAGGCGGUUUGAUAAGUUAGAGGUGAAAUGUCGGGGCUCAACCCCGAAACUGCCUCUAAUACUGUUGGACUAGAGAAUAGUUGCGGUAGGCGGAAUGUAUGGUGUAGCGGUGAAAUGCUUAGAGAUCAUACAGAACACCGAUUGCGAAGGCAGCUUACCAAACUAUAUCUGACGUUGAGGC
rnacentral:rRNA from 1 species